GAUGAACGCUGGCGGCGUGCUUAACACAUGCAAGUCGAACGGGAAACCUUUUAUUGAAGCUUCGGCAGAUUUAGCUGGUUUCUAGUGGCGGACGGGUGAGUAGCGCGUGGGUAACCUGCCUUAUACAGGGGGAUAACAACCAGAAAUGGUUGCUAAUACCGCAUAAGCGCACAGGACCGCAUGGUCCGGUGUGAAAAACUCCGGUGGUAUAAGAUGGACCCGCGUUGGAUUAGCUAGUUGGCAGGGUAACGGCCUACCAAGGCGACGAUCCAUAGCCGGCCUGAGAGGGUGAACGGCCACAUUGGGACUGAGACACGGCCCAGACUCCUACGGGAGGCAGCAGUGGGGAAUAUUGCACAAUGGGGGAAACCCUGAUGCAGCGACGCCGCGUGAAGGAAGAAGUAUCUCGGUAUGUAAACUUCUAUCAGCAGGGAAGAUAGUGACGGUACCUGACUAAGAAGCCCCGGCUAACUACGUG
rnacentral:rRNA from 1 species